CACCAGACUCCUACGGGAGGCAGCAGUGAGGAAUAUUGGUCAAUGGGCUUACGCCUGAACCAGCCAAGUCGCGUGAGGGAAGACUGCCCUAUGGGUUGUAAACCUCUUUUGUCAGGGAGCAACGCCGGCUACGUGUAGCCGGACUGAGAGUACCUGAAGAAAAAGCAUCGGCUAACUCCGUGCCAGCAGCCGCGGUAAUACGGAGGAUGCGAGCGUUAUCCGGAUUUAUUGGGUUUAAAGGGAGCGUAGGCCGGUGAUUAAGCGUGUUGUGAAAUGUAGAUGCUCAACAUCUGAACUGCAGCGCGAACUGGUUUCCUUGAGUACGCGCAAAGUGGGCGGAAUUCGUGGUGUAGCGGUGAAAUGCUUAGAUAUCACGAAGAACUCCGAUUGCGAAGGCAGCUCACUGGAGCGCAACUGACGCUGAAGCUCGAAAGUGCGGGUAUCGAACAGGAUUAGAUACCCCAGUA
rnacentral:rRNA from 1 species